ensembl:rRNA 5_8S_rRNA 5.8S ribosomal RNA
GACUCUUAGCGGUGGAUCACUUGGCUCGUGUGUCGAUGAAGAACGCAGCUAGCUGCGAGAAUUAAUAAUGUGAAUUGCAGGACACAUUGAUCAUGGACACUUUGAAUGCACUUGCAGCCCUGAGUUCCUCCUGGGGCUACACCUUUCUGGGAGUUG